CUACGGGUCGCUCCAGUAAGGAAUAUUGGUCAAUGGGCGAAAGCCUGAACCAGCCAUGCCGCGUGAGUGAAGACGGCCUUCGGGUUGUAAAACUCUUUUCUAAGGGAAGAACCAGCAGGACAGGAAAUGGUCCCGCUCUGACGGUACCUUAGGAAUAAGGAACGGCUAACUCCGUGCCAGCAGCCGCGGUAAUACGGAGGUUCCAAGCGUUGUUCGGAUUUACUAGGCGUAAAGGGAGCGCAGGCGGAAGGGUCAGUCUGAAGUGGAAUCCCGGGGCUCAACCUCGGACGUGCUUUGGAUACUGCCCUUCUUGAGUCCGUGAGAGGAAAGCGGAAUUCAGGGUGUAGCGGUGAAAUGCUUAGAUAUCCUGAGGAACACCAAUGGCGAAAGCAGCUUUCUGGCACGUGACUGACGCUGAGGCUCGAAAGCGUGGGGAGCGAACGGGAUUAGAUACCCUGGUAGUC
rnacentral:rRNA from 1 species